AGCAGCCGCGGUAAUUCCAGCUCCAAUAGCGUAUAUUAAAGUUGUUGCAGUUAAAAAGCUCGUAGUUGAAUUUCGGGAUCAAUUUAUUGGUCGUGCUAUUGUACGUACUGGUAUUAUUGAUUCCCACCUUCUGACGAACCACGAUGUCAUUAAUUUGGUGUCAUGGGGAAUCAGGACUGUUACUUUGAAAAAAUUAGAGUGUUUAAAGCAGGCUCACGCUUGAAUACAUUAGCAUGGAAUAACGAAAUAGGACGUUUGAUUCUAUUUUGUUGGUUUCUAGGAUCGACGUAAUGAUUAAUAGGGAUAGUUGGGGGCAUUAGUAUUCAAUUGUCAGAGGUGAAAUUCUUGGAUUUAUUGAAGACUAACUACUGCGAAAGCAUUUGCCAAGGAUGUUUUCAUUAAUCAAGAACGAAAGUUAGGGGAUCGAAGACGAUCAGAUACCGUCGUAGUCUUAACCACUAAACUAAUGCCGACCUAGGGAAGUCGGAGUGAUGUUAAUUUUUAAAUUGACUCAUUCGGU
rnacentral:rRNA from 1 species